rnacentral:rRNA from 1 species
AACAAGGAUUCCCCUAGUAACUGCGAGUGAAGCGGGAAAAGCUCAAAUUUAAAAUCUGGCGGUCUCUGGCCGUCCGAGUUGUAAUCUAGAGAAGUAAUGCCCGUGCUGGACCGUGUAUAAGUCUCCUGGGAUGGGGCGUCAUAGAGGGUGAGAAUCCCGUCUUUGACACGGACUACCAGUGCAUUGUGGUAUGCUCUCAAAGAGUCGAGUUGUUUGGGAAUGCAGCUCAAAAUGGGUGGUAAAUUCCAUCUAAAGCUAAAUAUUGGCGAGAGACCGAUAGCGAACAAGUACCGUGAGGGAAAGAUGAAAAGAACUUUGGAAAGAGAGUUAAACAGUACGUGAAAUUGCUGAAAGGGAAACGCUUGAAGUCAGUCGCGUUGGCCGGGGAUCAGCCUUGCUUUUGCAUGGUGUACUUUCUGGUUGACGGGUCAGCAUCAAUUUUGACCGCUGGAAAAAGACCUGGGGAAUGUGGCAGCUUCGGCUGUGUUAUAGCCCCUAGUCGCAUACAGUGGUUGGGAUUGAGGAACUCAGCACGCCGCAAGGCCGG